rnacentral:rRNA from 1 species
GCAGUAGCCGCGGUAAUACGAAGGGUGCAAGCGUUAAUCGGAAUUACUGGGCGUAAAGCGUGCGUAGGCGGUUUGUUAAGUCUGCUGUGAAAUCCCCGGGCUCAACCUGGGAAUGGCAGUGGAUACUGGCAAGCUAGAGUGUGUCAGAGGAUGGUGGAAUUCCCGGUGUAGCGGUGAAAUGCGUAGAGAUCGGGAGGAACAUCAGUGGCGAAGGCGGCCAUCUGGGACAACACUGACGCUGAGGCACGAAAGCGUGGGGAGCAAACAGGAUUAGAUACCCCUGUAGUCCCUGUCUCUUAUAC